CGCAAGGUUAAAACUCAAAUGAAUUGACGGGGGCCCGCACAAGCGGUGGAGCAUGUGGUUUAAUUCGAUGCAACGCGAAGAACCUUACCUGGUCUUGACAUCCACAGAACUUUCCAGAGAUGGAUUGGUGCCUUCGGGAACUGUGAGACAGGUGCUGCAUGGCUGUCGUCAGCUCGUGUUGUGAAAUGUUGGGUUAAGUCCCGCAACGAGCGCAACCCUUAUCCUUUGUUGCCAGCGGUUCGGCCGGGAACUCAAAGGAGACUGCCAGUGAUAAACUGGAGGAAGGUGGGGAUGACGUCAAGUCAUCAUGGCCCUUACGACCAGGGCUACACACGUGCUACAAUGGCAUAUACAAAGAGAAGCGACCUCGCGAGAGCAAGCGGACCUCAUAAAGUAUGUCGUAGUCCGGAUUGGAGUCUGCAACUCGACUCCAUGAAGUCGGAAUCGCUAGUAAUCGUAGAUCAGAA
rnacentral:rRNA from 1 species